rnacentral:rRNA from 2 species
AAAUGACUCUCGGCAACGGAUAUCUCGGCUCUCGCAUCGAUGAAGAACGUAGCGAAAUGCGAUACUUGGUGUGAAUUGCAGAAUCCCGUGAACCAUCGAGUCUUUGAACGCAAGUUGCGCCCGAAGCCUACGGCUGAGGGCACGUCUGCCUGGGCG